rnacentral:rRNA from 1 species
UACGAAGGGGGCUAGCGUUGCUCGGAAUCACUGGGCGUAAAGCGCACGUAGGCGGGUUCUUAAGUCAGGGGUGAAAUCCUGGAGCUCAACUCCAGAACUGCCUUUGAUACUGGGAAUCUCGAGUCCGGGAGAGGUGAGUGGAACUGCGAGUGUAGAGGUGAAAUUCGUAGAUAUUCGCAAGAACACCAGUGGCGAAGGCGGCUCACUGGCCCGGUACUGACGCUGAGGUGCGAAGGCGUGGGGAGCGAACGGG